ACGGGAGGCAGCAGUGGGGGAUAUUGCACAAUGGGGGAAACCCUGAUGCAGCGACGCCGCGUGAGUGAAGAAGUAUUUCGGUAUGUAAAGCUCUAUCAGCAGGAAAGAUAAUGACGGUACCUGACUAAGAAGCACCGGCUAAAUACGUGCCAGCAGCCGCGGUAAUACGUAUGGUGCAAGCGUUAUCCGGAUUUACUGGGUGUAAAGGGAGCGCAGGCGGUACGGCAAGUCUGAUGUGAAAGCCCGGGGCUCAACCCCGGUACUGCAUUGGAAACUGUCGAACUAGAGUGUCGGAGGGGUAAGUGGAAUUCCUAGUGUAGCGGUGAAAUGCGUAGAUAUUAGGAGGAACACCAGUGGCGAAGGCGGCUUACUGGACGAUAACUGACGCUGAGGCUCGAAAGCGUGGGGAGCAAACAGGAUUAGAUACCCUGGUA
rnacentral:rRNA from 1 species